rnacentral:rRNA from 1 species
AGUCGAACGGCAGCACGGUGGUAGUUUACUAUCAUGGGUGGCGAGUGGCGGACGGGUGAGUAACGCAUAGGAAUCUGCCGAAUAGAGGGGAAUAACUGAGGGAAACUUCAGCUAAUACCACAUGACGUCUACGGACCAAAAGCAGGGGACCUUCGGGCCUUGCGCUAUUUGAUGAGCCUAUGUCGGAUUAGCUAGUUGGUGGGGUAAAGGCCUACCAAGGCGAAGAUCCGUAGCUGGUCUGAGAGGAUGGCCAGCCACACUGGGACUGAGACACGGCCCAGACUCCUACGGGAGGCAGCAGUGGGGAAUAUUGGACAAUGGGGGGAACCCUGAUCCAGCGAUGCCGCGUGAGUGAAGAAGGCCUUCGGGUUGUAAAGCUCUUUUGUAGGGGAGGAAGUGCGCGCGUGAAUAACGUAAAGCAUCGACGUUACCCUAAGAAUAAGCACCGGCUAACUCUGUGCCAGCAGCCGCGGUAAUACAGAGGGUGCGAGCGUUAAUCGGAAUGACUGGGCGUAAAGGGUGCGUAGGUGGUUUGUUAAGUUAGCUGUGAAAGCCCCGGGCUUAACCUGGGAACGGCAGCUAAAACUGAUGAACUAGAGUAGGUGAGAGGAGUGUGGAAUUUCCGGUGUAGCGGUGAAAUGCGUAGAGAUCGGAAAGAACACCAGUGGCGAAGGCGGCACUCUGGUACCAUACUGACACUGAGGCACGAAGGCGUGGGGAGCAAACAGGAUUAGAUACCCUGGUAGUCCACGCAGUAAACGAUGAGAACUGGAUGAGGGUGGAGUAAAAUCCAUCCGUAUCGAAGCUAACGCGUUAAGUUCUCCGCCUGGGGAGUACGGCCGCAAGGUUAAAACUCAAAGAAAUUGACGGGGGCCCGCACAGCGGUGGAGUAAAUGUGGUUUAAUUCGAUGCAACGCGAAGAACCUUACCUGGUCUUGACAUGUUGAGAAUCCUGCAGAGAUGCGGGAGUGCCUUCGGGAGCUCAAACACAGUGCUGCAUGGCUGUCGUCAGCUCGUGUCGUGGGAGAAUGGUUGGGGUAGUCCCGCACGAGCGCACCCCCAUUUU